CUCUCGGCUCCUCCCACUCCGCGGGAACUUUGUGCUUCCGGCAAACUUCUCCCGAGCUGGGACCCUCUGGCACAGCUGAGUUGGUGACUGCUGGAGGGACCACUGGUAGAGCUGAAGAAUAUGAAUAGUUUCUCAAGAAAAGUACAUUGCUUUUGGCACAAGAAGCAGAAUAACUGUGAAUUAUUAUCACGUGGAAUUUUUCAGUAAAAAUCACUGAAAAUUAUUUUCUGUGCAAUAACUAUAGGCUUUGAACUAGAGGACCCCAGAC